rnacentral:lncRNA from 1 species
GUGGAAGAGGACAGAGUUAGUUUCCUGGGAUUUGGAAGGUGUGGUGAGCGCGAUGGCUUUUCACCCUAGCGCGGAUGAGACGCUGUCGAUACGGCAUGGAUUCAGGUGUGUUCCUGAGAAUGGAGUUAAAGUGGAGGAAGUUAGUCAGUGAACAGGUAGGAGCUGAAUUUAUACAUUCCGCUUCCAGAAUGAACAAAGCUGUGGUUGUGUUCAUGAAAAGAGCAAAUUUGGUUGGUAGGCUAAUUGCUAGUGGAAUAUUUGUAAGGGAUGUGUUGGUGCCAGUUUCACCUCUCUCUACCCCUUCGACAAGGGUGGUAGUUGCAAAUUUGCCUCCGUUUAUUACGGAUGAUCAAAUCAGGAAAGAGCUGAGUGGUUUUGGUAAGUUUGCUAGUGGGUUUCGUGUACUGUCGGCAGGUUUUCAGACAGAUGCCGUUAAGCACGUUGUUUCAUUCUGGAGGCAAGUGUUUAUGUUUCUGAACAACAAUGAGCAACAGCUAAAUGUGCAUUUUAAAGUGAGGCAUGGGGAGGGGCUCUAUGCAGGGUUUGCCAGCACAGAUAGUCUACGGUGUUUUGAGUGUGGGGAUUUGGGGCAUAAGAGCUUUGUGUGCCCACAUAAAGGGCAUAGACAAGGUGAGGGUACAAGCGCCCCCGGUGGGGGAAAUCGAGGUCAACGUGAAGGGGACAAUGAGACGCAGGUAGCAGAGGCUGGGCAUAGUCAUGCCAGUGAUGGUGGUGUAGAUGAGUCUGGGCCUAGUCAUGCCAUGGAUGGUGGUGUAGAUGAGGCUGGGUCUAGUCAUGCUAUGGAUGGCGGUGUAGAUGAGGCUGGGUCUAGUCAGGUGAUGGAUGGUGGUGUAGAUGAGGCUGGGUCUAGUCAUGCUACAGAUGGCGGUGUAGAUGAGGCUGGGUCUAGUCAGGCUAUAGAUGGUGGUGUAGAUGAGGCUGGGUCUAGUCAGGCUAGAGAUGGUGGUGUAGAUGAGGCUGGGUCUAGUCAGGUUAUGGAUGGUGGUGUAGAUGAGGCUGGGUCUAGUCAUGCUACAGAUGGUGGUGUAGAUGAGGCUGGGUCUAGUCAUGCCAUGGAUGGUGGUGUAGAUGAGGCUGGGUCUAGUCAUGCUACAGAUGGUGGUGUAGAUGAGGCUGGGUCUAGUCAUGCUAGAGAUGGUGGUGUAGAUGAGGCUGGGUUUAGUCAUGUUAUAGAUGGUGGUGUAGAUGAGGCUGGGUCUAGUCAUGCCAUGGAUGGUGGUGUAGAUGAUGCUGGGUCUAGUCAUGCUAGAGAUGGUGGUAUAGAUGAGGCUGGGUCUAGUCAGGUUAUAGAUGGUGGUGUAGAUGAGGCUGGGUCUAGUCAUGCUAGAGAUGGUGGUGUAGAUGAGGCUGGGUUUAGUCAUGUUAUAGAUGGUGGUGUAGAUGAGGCUGGGUCUAGUCAUGCUAGAGAUGGUGGUGUAGAUGAGGCUGGGUUUAGUCAUGUUAUAGAUGGUGGUGUAGAUGAGGCUGGGUCUAGUCAGGUUAUAGAUGGUGGUGUAGAUGAUGCUGGGUCUAGUCAGGUUAUGGAUGGUGGUGUAGAUGAGGCUGGGUCUAGUCAGGUUAUGGAUGUAGUGUAGAUGAGGCUGGGUCUAGUCAGGUUAUAGAUGGUGGUGUAGAUGAUGCUGGGUCUAGUCAGGUUAUGCUAGUGGAUGAGGAGAGUAUAGUGGGG